rnacentral:rRNA from 1 species
UGGGGAAUUGUUCGCAAUGGGCGCAAGCCUGACGACGCAACGCCGCGUGGAGGACGAAGAUCUUCGGGUCGUAAACUCCUGUCGAGCGGGACGAACGCUUCGCGGAUGAAUAAUCCGCGGAAUUGACGGUACCGCUAAAGGCAGCCCCGGCUAACUCCGUGCCAGCAGCCGCGGUAAUACGGGGGGGGCAAGCGUUGUUCGGAAUUACUGGGCGUAAAGGGCUCGUAGGCGGCCAACUAAGUCGGACGUGAAAUCCCCAGGCUCAACCUGGGAACUGCGUCCGAUACUGACUGGCUUGAAUCCGGGAGAGGGAUGCAGAAUUCCAGGUGUAGCGGUGAAAUGCGUAGAUAUCUGGAGGAAUACCGGUGGCGAAGGCGGCAUCCUGGACCGGCAUUGACGCUGAGGAGCGAAAGCUAGGGGAGCAAA